rnacentral:rRNA from 1 species
GACGAACGCUGGCGGCGUGCUUAACACAUGCAAGUCGAACGAUGAAGCCGGAGCUUGCUCCGGUGGAUUAGUGGCGAACGGGUGAGUAACACGUGAGCAAUCUGCCCUUGACUCUGGGAUAACUGCGGGAAACUGUAGCUAAUACCGGAUACGACACCUUGGGGCAUCCCAGGGUGUGGAAAGAAUUUCGGUCAAGGAUGAGCUCGCUGCCUAUCAGCUAGUUGGUGAGGUAAUGGCUCACCAAGGCGACGACGGGUAGCCGGCCUGAGAGGGUGACCGGCCACACUGGAACUGAGACACGGUCCAGACUCAUACGGGAGGCAGCAGUGGGGAAUAUUGCACAAUGGGCGAAAGCCUGAUGCAGCAACGCCGCGUGAGGGAUGAAGGCCUUCGGGUUGUAAACCUCUUUUAGCAGGGAAGAAGCGAAAGUGACGGUACCUGCAGAAAAAGCACCGGCUAACUACGUGCCAGCAGCCGCCGUAA